rnacentral:rRNA from 1 species
UACGUAGGGACCGAGCGUUGUCCGGAUUCAUUGGGCGUAAAGGGUGCGUAGGCGGCGCGGUAAGUCGGAUGUGAAAUCUCGGAGCUUAACUUCGAAACUGCAUUCGAUACUGCCGUGCUUGAGGACUGGAGAGGAGACUGGAAUUUACGGUGUAGCGGUGAAAUGCGUAGAUAUCGUAAGGAAGACCAGUGGCGAAGGCGGGUCUCUGGACAGUUCCUGACGCUGAGGCACGAAGGUCAGGGGAGCAAACGGG